CUUUUUCCCUUUUUCUUUCGCUCUUUUUUUUUUUUUUCUCCCCUGAACCGAUCCGAGAAGGAUGAGAGCGGGUGGGGGAGGGGAUGACUCACAUUUCUUAAGCCUCCAAGUGGAAACCUUUUCUGGAUACACAUUCCACACAGAUCUGAAGAGCUAAGAAGAUUUCGGCAGCGUCGGUGCCUUAUCCCACCUUUAUUUACCUGAAGCCCUUGUAAUGUGACACUUCCAUUCGCAAAAUAAGGCUGCAAAUUUCAAGCCCCACUCAGCUCUGUUACGGCGCUGCAUUUUUGUCUGAGGGUCGCUCUCCUGCUUUGAGGGUGAGAUUUUUGGAGCGGUGCGGGGGGAGGCACCGCUCUCCCUGUUAGACAUAGGAAGGGGAAAGUUCGCUAUUUCCAGCUGAUGGGGAAGGAAGUUUAAUCAACACCGUGAGACGCAGCGGCUCCCUGGAGCACGGGGAGGAAAGGGCUGGCCGGGGCUGGAGACACCCCGCGGGGGCGUUGGCAGGAGGGGAGGCAUCUCCCGGCGGGAUCCGCGCUGCCGGGCUCAGCCCGCUGCCGCCGCUGCGAGAGGGGCGCGGAGCCCCGCGGAGGGCUCGGGAAAGGGAGGGAGACACCCGUCGUCCCCCCACUCCUUCUCCUUCUCCUUCGCCUUCGCCUUCCCUUCCCCCUCUCCCCGCCAAGCACUCGCAUCCCGAAAAGCCGCGGGCCUUUGCGUCUGCGGCCGCUCCGCGCCGCGCCGUCCCUUAAGGAAGAGCUCGGCCGCCCUUCCAGCACAAAGACGGAGCUCCUGGGCGGCGGGGCCGGCGGCAGCGAGGGCUGGGCCGCCCCCCCCCCCCCCCCCCCCCCCCCCCCCCCCCCCCCCCCCCCCCCCCCCCCCCCCCCCCCCCCCCCCCCCCCCCCCCCCCCCCC
rnacentral:lncRNA from 12 species